UAGGGAAUCUUCCGCAAUGGACGCAAGCCUGACGGAGCAACGCCGCGUGAGUGAAGAAGGAUUUCGGUUCGUAAAACUCUGUUGUUAGAGAAGAACAGCGCAUAGAGUAACUGUUAUGCGUGUGACGGUAUCUAACCAGAAAGCCACGGCUAACUACGUGCCAGCAGCCGCGGUAAUACGUAGGUGGCAAGUGUUGUCCGGAUUUAUUGGGCGUAAAGCGAGCGCAGGCGGUCAAUUAAGUCUGAUGUGAAAGCCCCCGGCUCAACCGGGGAGGGUCAUUGGAAACUGGUUGGCUUGAGUGCAGAAGAGGAGAGUGGAAUUCCAUGUGUAGCGGUGAAAUGCGUAGAUAUAUGGAGGAACACCAGUGGCGAAGGCGACUCUCUGGUCUGUAACUGACGCUGAGGCUCGAAAGCGUGGGUAGCAAACAGG
rnacentral:rRNA from 1 species